UGGUUCUAGCAUCGAUGAAGAACGCAGCGAAAUGCGAUAAGUAAUGUGAAUUGCAGAAUUUUGUGAAUCAUCGAAUUUUUGAACGCACAUUGCACCUUUUGGUAUUCCGAAAGGUAUGCCUAUUUGAGCGUCAUUUCAACCUAUCAAACUUUAUUGUUUGGUUUUGAGUUAAAUCUGCACAGAUUGACUUCGAAAGAAAUUAAGUUUUAAUACAAUGAUCUGUAUCUUAAAACUAAAUCAUUUUUCUGGUUGACCUCAAAUUAGGUAGGAUUACCCGCUGA
rnacentral:misc_RNA from 1 species